rnacentral:misc_RNA from 1 species
AUAACUCUCCCCAAAUUCUUGACCAAAAAUAUCCGCCACUUUCUCUCUGGUUCAUGUUUUCCCCUCAAUGAAAUACAUACACAUUUUGAUUUUAUUUAAAUCAAGAUCGACGUAUAAGCUAUCCACCAAUCAUACUUAAGGGUUCCC